rnacentral:lncRNA from 1 species
UUUACUAGACUAACAUGAUAUUUUUUUCUGUUUCACUUCCAUCUCCUAAGAACAAUAACACUUGUCUUUCUUUCUCAUUUUUAUUCCAAACACAUUCCCAAACCCAAAGUAAAACUCCCACCUAGUCCUAUCUAGCCCAAAAAGCGUGGACUAGAACUACAUGGGAUCCCAUUCUUGUCGGUUCAUACCUAACACUUUCUACCAAGCUCAAUCCGGAAAUAGGCCUCUCACACACACAAAUUUAUUCAGGGUUUGAAAGAAAGGUUAGGUUCAGGGUGGGGGAAACUGUUCCAAUGAUGGGAAUCAGCUACUUGGAUUAGCAAGAGUGGUAGAAGGUGAAAGAAAAUCCAAGUAUGUGUAUUGGUAGCCACAAGUUCAACAACAAUGCAAAGACAUGAUAAUUACAAGUCAAGUUCAGGUUCUAAUAGAUAGGGAAAAGAAUCACAUCAAGCAUGC